rnacentral:rRNA from 1 species
AACCCGGUGAUCUAGCCAUGGGCAGGUUGAAGGUUGGGUAACACUAACUGGAGGACCGAACCGACUAAUGUUGAAAAAUUAGCGGAUGACUUGUGGCUGGGGGUGAAAGGCCAAUCAAACCGGGAGAUAGCUGGUUCUCCCCGAAAGCUAUUUAGGUAGCGCCUCGUGAAUUCAUCUCCGGGGGUAGAGCACUGUUUCGGCUAGGGGGUCAUCCCGACUUACCAACCCGAUGCAAACUGCGAAUACCGGAGAAUGUUAUCACGGGAGACACACGGCGGGUGCUAACGUUCGUCGUGAAGAGGGAAACAACCCAGACCGCCGGCUAAGGUCCCAAAGUCAUAAUUAAGUGGGAAACGAAGUGGGAAGGCUCAGACAGCCAGGAUGUUGGCUUAGAAGCAGCCAUCAUUUAAAGAAAGCGUAAUAGCUCACUGGUCGAGUCGGCCUGCGCGGAAGAUGUAACGGGGCUAAAUUAUGCACCGAAGCCGCGGCAGCGAUAUGUAAAUAUUGUUGGGUAGGGGAGCGUUCUGUAAGCCUGUGAAGGUGACCUGUGAGGGUUGCUGGAGGUAUCAGAAGUGCGAAUGCUGACAUAAGUAACGAUAAUGCGGGUGAAAAACCCGCACGCCGGAAGACCAAGGGUUCCUGUCCAACGUUAAUCGGGGCAGGGUGAGUCGACCCCUAAGGCGAGGCUGAAAAGCGUAGUCGAUGGGCAACGGGUUAAUAUUCCCGUACUGGUGGUAACUGCGAAGGGGGGACGGAGAAAGCUAAAUCAUCCGGGCGACGGUUGUCCCGGUUUAAGCGUGCAGGUGGACUGACCAGGCAAAUCCGGUCGGUUGUUAACACUGAGGCGUGACGACGAGCCACUACGGUGGUGAAGUGAUUGAUGCUCUGCUUCCGGGAA